ensembl:miRNA Mir7043 microRNA 7043
CUGCCUGUGAAAGCAGAGAGGCAUUUUUCUCUGUUGCAGCUACUUGAGUACUGUGCUUCUCUGUUUUCAG